GUCACGAUUUACAGUUCAUGCAAAAAUAACGUUGGCAUUUAUACAAACAGGGGAUAAAUAUUUAGACACAUAGAAACAAAAAAGAAGGGAACCCUACACAUGAGCUUACAAUCUAGAGGGGGCAGUGUACACCGAGACAAAAAUAAAAUUAUGAAAUAACAGAAAUGUAUCCGUGAUUGAACCAAUAUAAGGAGUACUGUACUGAUUAACAAU